rnacentral:rRNA from 1 species
UACGUAGGGUGCGAGCGUUAAUCGGAAUUACUGGGCGUAAAGCGCACGUAGGCGGCUUGGUAUGUCGGGUGUGAAAUCCCCGGGCUCAACCCGGGAACUGCGUCCGAUACUGGAAGGCUUGAAUCCGGGAGAGGGAUGCGGAAUUCCAGGUGUAGCGGUGAAAUGCGUAGAUAUCUGGAGGAACACCGGUGGCGAAGGCGGCAUCCUGGACCGGUAUUGACGCUGAGGCGCGAAAGCCAGGGGAGCAAACGGG